rfam:Ovis aries breed Texel chromosome 14, whole genome shotgun sequence.
UCCCUGGUGGCUCAGAGGUUAAAGCGUCUGCCUCCAAUGCAGGAGACCCAGGUUCAAUCCCUGGGUUGGGAA